GAAGGUAUAGCUCAGUGGUAUAGUACAUGAUUAGAAUGCAUGAGGUCCUGGGUUCAAUCCCCAGAAUCUCCA
rnacentral:tRNA from 1 species